rnacentral:lncRNA from 1 species
GUGUGGACAAUACACAAUUCAUUCAUUAACUCAGAGACAGGCGUGGACAUCACACAAUUCAUUCAUUAACUCAGAGACAGGUGUGGACAAUACACUAUUCAUUCAUUAACUCAGAGACAGGCGUCAGUUAAAGUGGCUCGUCAAUUGGAACACAUGGGAGAGAUACAAGCUAUAACACAAAUAGAUUGUAAAACAUUGAUUCAUUUCUCAAUAUAGUAUGUACUUAUUAUCAGCAUAGUAAUACCCUGUAGGACAUUGGAAAGAGGUGGAAUAGACACCUUGAUCUGCAUCCCAAACGGCACCCUAUUCCCUAAAUGAGGGCACUACUUUUAACCAGAUCCUCUUAUUACACGUAGUGCACUGCGUAUGGGAGUAGGGUGCACUUUGGGACAUAACCCUGUUAUUGUCGUGGUGGUGACUUCCACUCUUCUUCCUGUUGUGAAGGUUUAAUAGCAGAUGGCUUUGAAGGUGAUGUUUACUGAAAGGGUGUAGAACUCCACACCACUUCCCCAUCACACCGUUGUCUAUAGGUAAGUGUUGUGGCUGAAUCCGCUCCCCAUCACACUGUUGUCCAUAGGUAAGUGUUGUGGCUGUAUCUGCUGUCCAUCACAUCGUUGUCUAUAGGUAAGUGUUGUGGCUGUAUCUGCUGUCCAUCACACCGUUGUCUAUAGGUAAGUGUUGUGGCUGAAUCCGCUGUCCAUCACACCGUUGUCCAUAGGUAAGUGUUGUGGCUGAAUCCGCUGUCCAUCACACCGUUGUCCAUAGGUAAGUGUUGUGGCUGUAUGUGCUGUCCAUCACACUGUUGUCCAUAGGUAAGUGUUGUGGCUGAAUCCGCUGUCCAUCACACCGUUGUCCAUAGGUAAGUGUUGUGGCUGAAUCCGCUGUCCAUCACACCGUUGUCCAUAGGUAAGUGUUGUGGCUGUAUCUGCUGUCCAUCACACCGUUGUCUAUAGGUAAGUGUUGUGACUGAAUCCGCUGUCCAUCACACCGUUGUCUAUAGGUAAGUGUUGUGGCUGUAUCUGCUGUCCAUCACACCGUUGUCUAUAGGUAAGUGUUGUGGCUGUAUCUGCUGUCCAUCACACCGUUGUCUAUAGGUAAGUGUUGUGGCUGUAUCUGCUGUCCAUCACAC